rnacentral:rRNA from 1 species
UACGUAGGGUGCAAGCGUUGUCCGGAAUUAUUGGGCGUAAAGAGCUCGUAGGCGGCUUGUCGCGUCGUCCGUGAAAACCUGCAGCUCAACUGCAGGCUUGCGGUCGAUACGGGCAGGCUAGAGUUCGGUAGGGGAGACUGGAAUUCCUGGUGUAGCGGUGAAAUGCGCCAGAUAUCAGGAGGAACACCGGUGGCGAAGGCGGGUCUCUGGGCCGAUACUGACGCUGAGGAGCGAAAGCGUGGGGAGCGAACAGG